rnacentral:rRNA from 1 species
UUCGCAAUGCCCGAAAGGGUGACGAUGCGACGCCGCGUGAGCGAAGAAGGCCCUAGGGUUGUAAAGCUCUGUCGAGGGUUAUGAAAUAUAGAUGGGUUAAUACCCCAUUUAUUUGACAAAAGCCCAAAAGGAAGCCACGGCUAACUCUGUGCCAGCAGCCGCGGUAAUACAGAGGUGGCGAGCGUUGUUCGGUAUUAUUGGGCGUAAAGAGCACGUAGGUGGUUUUGUAAGUCAGGUGUGAAAGCCUUCUGUUCAAAGGAAGAACGGCAUCUGAAACUGCAGAUCUCGAGUGUAGGAGGGGAGAGUGGAACUUCUGGUGGAGCGGUGAAAUGCGUAGAUAUCAGAAGGAACGUCGGCGGCGAAAGCGACUCUCUGGCCUAUUACUGACACUGAGGUGCGAAAGUUAGGGGAGCAAACGGGAUUAGAUACCCCGGUAGUCCUAACCGUAAACGAUGGGCACUAAGUAGAGGGGUUUU